GGAUGAACGCUAGCGGCAGGCUUAAUACAUGCAAGUCGAACGGGAUUCGGGGUAGCAAUACUUUGAUGAGAGUGGCGCACGGGUGCGUAACGCGUAUGCAACCUACCUUUAACAGGGGAAUAGCCCCGAGAAAUCGGGAUUAAUACUCCGUAACAUUGCGGUGUGGCAUCACACUGCACUUAAAGCUGAGGCGGUUAAAGAUGGGCAUGCGUGACAUUAGCUAGUUGGUGAGGUAACGGCUCACCAAGGCAACGAUGUCUAGGGGUCCUGAGAGGGUUAUCCCCCACACUGGUACUGAGACACGGACCAGACUCCUACGGGAGGCAGCAGUAAGGAAUAUUGGUCAAUGGGCGCAAGCCUGAACCAGCCAUGCCGCGUGCAGGAAGACGGCCCUAUGGGUUGUAAACUGCUUUUGUCAGGGAAUAAACCCCCGCU
rnacentral:rRNA from 1 species